GGCUUAUUUUAUUUAUCAUAUAUGCUGGCAGAGUUGCUAGACCUGAGUGGGAUUUUGACCGUGUUCUUUUGCGGCAUUGUCAUGUCCCAUUAUGCAAGGCACAAUGUGACAGCGAACUCAAGAAUCACGACAUAGUGAGAUUACACUGUUUCCAAAUUUAUCAGAAAUUGGUAUCAUUAUUUGAGUGGAAGACAUCAAAGGCAAGGUGAGCAACACAGAUCACAUGUCUCUGGCAUUUCCCUAUCUUCUGCUGUCCUGAAGUAGCUUCUAUUUAUUAUUUCGUAUUAAGUUAUCUAAAAUCAUGUCUCAGUGAUAUGGUUUUGUAAUUUUUUUUAGUUUUAAGACAUCCAUCAGUAUCUUUGGUAUCAUCAUCCUGCUUGUGUUACUUGGACGAGCUGCAUUUGUUUUCCCUAUAUCCAUUUUGUCAAUAACAUGAGUGGAAGUUCUGAGAGAAUGCAAAUCACGUUCAAGCACCAGGUUGUCAUUUGGUGGGCUGGGCUCAUGAGAGGCGCUGUUUCGAUUGCACUAGCAUAUAAUCAGGUAUUUGGCUUGCUGACUAGGCCUCUCAUAAGUGCCAUGCUCCCGCGUCACUCGAGGGCGCCGUCCAGAGGCCAUAGCACCGGCAGUAACUCCCCAAAGGAUGACUUCACCCUGCCAUUUUUCUCAACUAAUGAGGAUGCAUCUGGCAGCGGUAUCGCCUUGGAGCAAGCCAUGAGUAAAUUCUAGGAGCCGUCAUGAACAGAUCGUCCCAUUUUGAUGAUUUAAGGAUCUGCUAUGGCUUGUUAGAAAUUCAUGCAGCCUGACAACUUCUAAAUCAUUUUCCUUGGUGAUCCAAUUGUUACCUGAAUGUUAUAUGUAAAUUACUAUAAAUUCUAGGAGCCGUCAUGAACAGAUCGUCCCAUUUUGAUGAUUUAAGCAUCUGCUAUGGCUUGUUAGAAAUUCAUGCAACCUGACAACUUCUAAAUGGUUGACAGAUUGAUAAAAGAGGCUCCAGAAUCUGCAGAAGUAGGUGGUGGUGCAGAAUCUGAAGGAGGCAGCGGGUUUUCCUCCAGUACUGUUUAGAAGGAUCCACAAAAUAUGGACACAGGAACGCAUGUAUUACAGAAUGGUGGAGAAGGUCUUGGAAGAAAUUACAGAAGCGUCAUAGGAAGGGCUUCAACUCCCUAUGCAUUCUCGGAGCUUGGAUUCUAUGGAAACACAGGAAUGCAUGUGCCUUCGAUGGGAGGGCCCCAAAUCUGCAGCGGGUACUCCAGGAUUUCAAGGAUGAAUCCCUGCUUUGGAGGUUCGCUGGGGCUAAGGAACUUGCUGCCCUGAACCUGGGAAGGUUGGUUGAGCAAGUUUAAGAUGUUAGGUGAUGUGUGGUCAGGGCCUAGGUUCAUCCUUUUGUAAUAGUUCUACCAGGUUUUUGCAACCCUCACUCUGGUCCAAGGUGAGCUGCUGUCUAUUGUAAUUGGACAACCCCUUUUUUCCUCUUAAUACAAAGAUA